UACGAAGGGGGCCAGCGUUGUUCGGAAUCACUGGGCGUAAAGCGCACGUAGGCGGAUUCGUAAGUCAGGGGUGAAAUCCCGGGGCUCAACCUCGGAACUGCCUUUGAUACUGCGGGUCUUGAGUCCGAUAGAGGUGGGUGGAAUUCCUAGUGUAGAGGUGAAAUUCGUAGAUAUUAGGAAGAACACCGGUGGCGAAGGCGGCCCACUGGAUCGGUACUGACGCUGAGGUGCGAAAGCGUGGGGAGCAAACAGG
rnacentral:rRNA from 1 species